rnacentral:rRNA from 1 species
UACGUAGGGUGCAAGCGUUGCCCGGAUUUAUUGGGCGUAAAGGGCGCGUAGGUGGCGGGACAAGCGUGCGGUGAAAGCCUGGGGCUCAACCCCGGGUCGGCCGUGCGAACUGUUUUGCUUGAGCACUGUAGAGGCAGGCGGAAUUCCGGGUGUAGCGGUGGAAUGCGUAGAGAUCCGGAAGAACACCGGUGGCGAAGGCGGCCUGCUGGGCAGUAGCUGACACUGAGGCGCGACAGCGUGGGGAGCAAACAGG